GUUGGUAUUGAAAGGUGGUGAGUUGGAACUGAUCUCUACAGAGAGAUGGUAAGAGUGGCAACAAGAAUAUCAAAAACAGAGGUCAGGAGACAGCGAUCUUGGCCCAGGAAUCCAUCUGCUGCUGCUGCUUUGAACACUGUGAUUGUGAAGAGAAGCCUCCCCAGGAAGAGAAGGGUCUUAGAAAUCUCCUCCACAAGUCGACAUGGCCACUUUUCCAAGAAGCAAAGCAGUUUUGCAAGAAACUUCAACAAGAGGACUUUCUAGCUACAGCUAUGGGUCAAUUGCUUGCAAGGAUUGCACAAGCAGAGAGAAGGGAAGAGACAAGAUAAAAAAGAUAACAAAACAGUCAUUUCACUUUAAUCAAAUCCUUUCUUGAGGCCUGAGAAACUUUCUAUUACUGUGUGCAUGUUUGUUUGUUUUUUUUUUUAAUUUCCAUUUCCAUUUGCUUGUACACUUGUGACUUGCAGCUGACACUACAAGCAGUACUGCCAAAACACCAUGGGAAACACCAUACCUUCUAUUUUUCUGACCGCACAGUAAUAUCCUGAAGAAGAAACAAACUGGUUUUCAUGAAAGUUUCUAUCUGAGGCCAGGCUGGGUCACAUACUAGUUUGCCCUGUUGCCAGCACCAGAUAAAGAAGAAAAAGAGUAAGCCUUUCUGCAGGGUGAGGAGAAAUUCAGGGGUAAUUCUCAAAUUUAUGAUUGGCCAUAAAAGUACUUUUUCACUUUUGCUUUUAGGUACAGCUUACAAUGGCUGCUCAUCUACUUUCAGGCAUAGUAGUGGGUGGUCACCACAGUCAGGUCAUGGGUAGCGACUGUUGGUUACUGCAUAUCACAAUUGUUUCUUUUUUUCCCUUUUGUCAAGAACAAAAGGUCAGAAAACUUUAAUGUCUCUGAAUACAUUAAUUCAAGCCUGUUAAAUUACUACUCUGUCCAUUUAAUCUCAGAAGUAUUUUCUAAAAAUGCAUGUGUCACUUAAUGUGUUACUUUAUUUAGAAGCAAACAAAUAUUUUUUUUCUGGAGAUUAAUGAGUGCCAGUUAUAUAAGCUGCAGCAUUUACCACUAUUUGGCUACAGCAGACAGAAAAUGAAGUUCUUAUAUGAACAAGAAGAACAGUUAUCAUGGCCUAUUAAAGAUUGUCAAAUUUUGUUAUCAUUCUUCCUCUUAUCCCUCCUCCAGUAUUUUUUCUACUUAAACAGAUUGGACAUUCAGAGCAUUUCAUGCAUGUUGGAGGAAUUUCUUGUUGCUGGCAACAGUCUGGUAUAAUGACAAUCCACCCACAAGCAGUCCAGCAGCAGGAGAGAAGAGAUUUUAGAUUUGUCAUCUUUACAGCAUAUAUCUAUUAACUACAUUUGCAGUAGAGAAACACUGGAGACAGCAAAAUAAGCAAUGGUCCACUGAUUACCUGUAGGUCAAACUGAGAUAGCCACUAAUAAUGUAAACUAGUAACAAUAAAAGAAUCAAAACCUAAAUUAAGAAGUGAGGAAUAUAAACUACAAGUAUCUGUUCACUCAUCCUCUUUGUUUUGAGUACAUCAGCCCAAAGGAAGCCUGAAACACAGGAGUGCAUUUCUUCCCUAUUGUGAACCUCUGGGAGUGCACUGAUCAGUUUCCUACUCUGUACAACAGCAGGUUAGGGCAAAGGCCUCGGUUGUGCUUUCAAAAGGUUUGAUGGGCUUAGUUCCUCUCAUCCAAAAAGCAAAUGACAGAGGCUAAAGACUGUAAUCAAGAACUUCAUCACUCUGGUACAGUGAGAAAUACAGUAGCAGCACAGAACCCUUCCUAGGCAGGAGAGAGGAGUAUGCUGUUCAGGAACCUGCCACAUGCUGUCAAAC
ensembl:lncRNA